UUCGAUUUAUUAGAUACGUGGGCAAAUUUUAAAGUUUACAGUUAAUUUCAAGGGAUGUGCGGUGUGACUAUCGUCUACUUUUUCUUUUAGUUAUUGUUCCCAUUUUCUUUCUGGGACUAUAAUAGCAGAUUAGUAAGCGUUCGGCUGCUCACCGAAGACUCGUGUUCAGCGGCUAACUACGCCGUACAGAGUUCGCUCGGGUCAGUUAGCGGGGAAAUAGCAGGGUGUAGAAACGACGCGACAUUGGGAUUGUUGUGAAGUGACAGCCUGGGAGGACAACGCACACACAACUGUUCCUUGGAAGUCUUCACUUUUGGAUGCCAAUGGGACAGGACGCUUCCUGGUGUCCACAGAGGAAUUUCAGCUCAGCGGUCACUCGGACCGGGGACUCGGUGAAGACAGUGACUGAGAGUGAGAUGGGCGUCCCGAUGCGAAUUACUCUGGGAACUGAGACCAGUGCAGGUGACGAAGAGGCCGCAGAUCCCCAUCCAGACGAGCUGCUCCAUCUCCCAGCUGAGAGGAGAACCACACAGCCCCGCACUGCAGGGUUAACCGGAGGCUUCUUCCUCCUCGUCUCACCUGCACUGUUCAGACUCCACCUACGGAAUCGGCCAGUCCUCCCUGAUUAGGGCGAGAUGCCCCUGCAGAGAUCAGUGAAGAACAGGAUUGGUGCUCCUGACUGUUCAGCCCUAUCUGCACUUUGACAAGAUGAUAUUCCAUGAUGUUUCGGCUAGAUCGUAUCUUCAUGCAUCACUUAAAGUCUGGAACCAAACCGUUCACUGGAGGAAAGAGUCUCUGCUACUCUGGAGUUCCCCACGGUGAAAGACCUUUGCUGGAUACUCUCAAGUCCCAAACUGAGGGCUGAACAGUUGACAUUUUUUCCAGUGGACAAAAGGGAUUGCCACCAAGCAACUCUCCAGUGACCAAAGGGACGAUCAGGGCCAGGAAGAAGAAGGAGAGCCUGACGGGGAGCACUAGGAGAAAAGCAGUGUCAUGUUAUCAGAGUGGCACCAUGUGGAGGGUCAAGGAGACGCAUGCUGACAGUGAAGGUGACAGUGAAGCAUCACACUGCAUUGUGUCAAAUAGGGAUUAAUGAAGCAGACUGGGAAUGAAUCUGACUGUCAGAGAAACGGCUGCAUAUAUUCAGGGAGCCUGCAGCAUAUGAGCGUCUUAAUCAGAUUUACAUGAAUGCAUUUAUCUUCACUUAUUGUACUGAUGCAUUAAUGAAACAUUUAAACACACAGUGAUAAAUACCUUAAUGGUAAACUCACUGACAUUUUCACAAAUGUCACAUCCUCUAUGUAUCACUCUUACAAAACAACUCUGAAGGUAAAAAUAGAAACCAGAAAUGAUAUCACUGUACCUGCUCCAGUAGUUGGUACAUCUACAGUUGUGUGAUUUGUAUGGUUAGUAUGGGAACCAGUGUGAGUUGGUGUCUUCAGUGUAGUUCCCUUAUAGUCAUUGUUCUCUUCAGGACUGUCUGUCACUUAAGUACAAACACAUAGAAUUUCUUGCUCAGUUUCUACCACUAACCAGCUGUAGGACUUUACCUUGAAUCAGACACUGUUAAGGACUAAACGCUGAUGUUAUUUUGGUAAAUGGUCUCACGUUGAGUUUUUGUAGGAGAAAGACAAACAGUCACAGAAAUGGCUGUGGGUGUUUUCACUGUAGGUCUGUGUUUGUUUCCUGUAGUUUUACCACGACCCUGUUCUGGAUAAAUGGUGAUGAAGCUUGAAGUUACUUAAGGUCUUUUCAUGAUUAGAUUUUCAUUAACAGCAUUUUAUUAAAAAGUGCAUCUGGAUGUGGAAACCCUUUCAUCCUUGCUAAGGAGAUCUGAUCUUUAUAAAAUUAUACAUCCUGAAUAAGCAUCUGCAGUAAUGCACUGUGUUACUGAAUCACAGUUUGCUUUGUCCUUCUCAUUUUCAGCAGGGGGAAAUUUCUAGAAAAUUAGCUGUUUUCAAUAAAGUGCUGAUUAUGAAGAUGUUUAAAGCAUGAAACGAUUAUGAAGUUCUUAUGUGAAACAUAAAAAGACCUUUGUAAUAAAUACUAACAGCCAGGAAUGGGCUUAAUAUUUAUAUUACAGACAGUCCAUGGGUUAAGAACAACAGACUACAGACAACUUGUACUCAUGACCGGGUUGUCAUAAAGUUCAUUAUAUAAAGAAAUUCAGGUUAAACACAAUGGUCCGUAAUACCGAAGGCAUGAACUGCUUUGUGACGCUUGUGGAAAUAUUGCGUGGCUCUCGGUACAGUACAGUACCGUAUGUAGUUACGUUUAUUAUUACCGUAUAAUUAUUGUUGUUAUGCAUUGUCCCAGUGGGCACAGCAUGUGUUAUUCACGUGGAUUUUUGGUGGUUAUUUGGUGAAGUGGUGGAUCCACAUAGAUCCAUCGUGAUUUUAGGUAUGUGGAAAAGAUGUACUAAAUCCACGUGGAAUUUUUGAUCCCAUUAUCAAUCUGUAGUUUCAGUUGUUAAAGUCUAAUAUUACUAUUGCCUCAUUUUGGUCUUGACGGGCUUCUACAGAGCUGAGGAGACUGCCGAGACGGAGACUCAAUGAAUUCUGUAAACUUUACGGCAACUGUGUUCAGAACGCUAACAGGCUACACUUUUCUUUCAGUAUUUUGUUGUUUUAUUUUUGUAACCUAGUGACGGAUUGUGUAGUAUUUUAUUUAAGGAAAAAAUCCGGUGAGUAUAAAUAAUGUGGAAUGGGGAAAUUGCGUUACAACGCUAUCAGUGCGUCUGACGUCACCCAAAUUUGAACAUUUUCCCCCCUGGAUUUACGACGACUGCUGACUGCCGUCUUUCGCGCGGAUUUCUCCUGUCAUCCAGUGACUAGGAUUUCGACGUUUCUCGAAGCUCAUUUGAGUAAUAAAUACUUUGCUUUACAUAUUAAACUGUGAGUCAGAUAAAUGACCUUUUUGAGAUUCAUAUUGUAAAACAGUAUGGUUUACAGCUAACGGCAUCACGUGUGCUUGUCCCACCGAGAGCAUUUUUUAAUGUUACCUAGUUGAUGUUCUUUAAACAUUAUCAUAUUCUUACAUGACAAAUUCAAAUUUUGUACAGAGUACAGAUCUUGUGUCGCCAACCCAUUGCUGAUGAGUGCAGAGGCGGUGUUAAUUCUACUUAAUUAUUCUUGUCCGUUGUCAGAUUAUUCAGAGUUGUGAAGCUUUUCAGACAUACAGGCAAAGUUCAAAGAAUGUCCAUCACAAAUGCUUACUGCCAGAAAAUCUCACAAUGACAAAUUUCCAAUGUCAGAAUGAACCAUGCAAUGCUUCCAGACUGUCCAUCUGAACAACUUCAGGUACAUCUCCUCUAUCUUCCAUUUGAAGCCUCCUACCCUGGUUUGCCAGCAUCUCACUUACCUCCAAUAGAAGUUUAAGAAGUGCAUGAAAAUUGGUGGGGCUACUGCAAAGGAAAAAAUUGACCAACAGAUUCUUAACCAAUGCGGUUAUGUGCAAAUUUAACAUGAAGGGAUUGAGAGGGGAGAAAGCAUCUUUUGAGAAGACAGCGCUUUGUAAAUUAAUUGACAGUGUGGUAAAGAGCCAUGGGGUCACAGAAGCCUUUGUUUACAGCUUCAUUGCCAGCAGACUAAGAAAUGCACCAAAGCGUCAAGGAAGACCGGACAUGGGUCGCGGGGGUCCGGAGCCUAUGGGCGCAAGGCAGGGAACAACCCAGGAUGGGGCGCCAACCCAUCGUAAAUCGUGGCUGAAAAUGUUACCAUGGAAGCGGCUGUAACUGGGAAAUGCAGCAGCUUGGGCAAAGUUCAAAGAAUGUCCAUCACAAAUGCUUACUGCCAGAAAAUCUCACAAUGACAAAUUUCCAAUGUCAGAAUAAAUCAUGCAAUGCUUCCAGACUGUCCAUCUGAACAACUUCAGGUACAUCUCCUCUAUCUUCCAUUUGAAGCCUCCUACCCUGGUUUGCCAGCAUCUCACUUACCUCCAAUAGAAGUUUAAGAAGUGCAUGAAAAUUGGUGGGGCUACUGCAAAGGAAAAAAUUGACCAACAGAUUCUUAACCAAUGCGGUUAUGUGCAAAUUUAACAUGAAGGGAUUGAGAGGGGAGAAAGCAUCUUUUGAGAAGACAGCGCUUUGUAAAUUAAUUGACACUGUGGUAAAGAGCCAUGGGGUCACAGAAGCCUUUGUUUACAGCUUCAUUGCCAGCAGACUAAGAAAUGCACCAAAGCGUAAUGGAAGACCGGACAUGGUAUAAUUAUUAUUGUAGCGAAUGCUAUGGUUUGAUUUAGACCAGUGGUUUUCAACCUGUGGGCCGCGGCCCCCUAGUGGGCCGCGACGGUAUUGCAGGGGGGCCGCCAAUUAUUAUUAUUAGAAAUUGUAAUAUUGUUAAUAUAAUAAAAAAUGUCUAGUCAAAAUCAAAUAAAUCAUAAUUUGAUAUAUCAUUUAUUCCGUUUAUUCAAUACAUUACCAGUUUAUUCAAUAAAGACAAAUAACAGCCUUGCUUCCGAGUACUUAGUUAACCCGACACAAAAAGCGGGAUCGUUUAAAUUCUUUUGAAGUGGGCCGCGGAAACAUAUGUGUUUGGCUGUGUGGGCCGUGAGUUAAAAAAGGUUGGAAACCACUGAUUUAGACAGUUAUCUAACUGGUCACGAGUGUUUCGUUUAUUUUUUUGUGCCAAAUAUUGUGGCAUGUGUUAGUAUUACGCACUACACCCAAUUGUAAUGUGCAUCUCAUUUAGUUUGUUUUGAUGUAUAUCUAAAAAAUGCAUUAUAAUUGAACAUUUAUGUGAAUUAUGUCUUUUUAUGUCUACUUUAUGGAGGAUGUCGUAGAUAUUGUAAACUUUGCAGAAUUUAUUUUGAACACAAUACAUACAUUCCACGUGCCAAUGUCCAUGUGAACUAAACUUGCCUUUUAAGCGUAAUUAACCUGUGUUUUCCACGUUGUUUCAACAUGUAUUCCACAUGUUUGUGGCCACUGGGUUUGUAGAAUUUAUGUUGAACACAAUACAUAUAUUUCACAUAUCAAAA